rnacentral:lncRNA from 1 species
GGAACAAAUGGGGGCAGACUGAGCCACGAGCUUGAAGAGCCGGCUCUGCAUGAUUGUAUUAUCCCAAGAGACUCCGGCCCUGUUUCUCCCGCGCACAGAAGGGUUCUGUGCGCACUGAGGUUCAAAUGCAAGAAUAAUUGUGAACACAAAAGUACUAUUCCAAGGCAGAGACCACCGCCAUUCCUUGAACCUCACGGUAACUAUGUGCCAAGGUCCCUCCCUGAGGAAAUCCCCAUCAUGACAAGCACUCAGAGAAGUUGGUUGGUACAGAGUUUCUCUGCUGGUUACCCCAGGUGUGGUGUGGACCCCAGAAGGAUGACAGUUUGAAUCCAAGGGCAGUCCCCUUCCUGGCACAGCAAGCAAAAUAAAGUGAAGCCCCUGGAGGCUCAGGCUCCACAGCAAGACCACAGAGAAGACCAGCCCUCUCCCAUUGCCACAAAGACAAGAGAUAGCUUGAAAGAAGACAGCUAAAAGUGGACAAAGAUGAGCUGGGGGGCCCAUAGGAGAGGAUUCAUACCACCCAGCCCCCUGUGGCACCUUCUUCCAGCGUAAAAUCCCGCGAGACUGG